CCUCUGCCGGCGUGAUCACCCUGCGAGGAAGAUCAUGCUGGAGUUCUGGAGCUAGAAGUCAUAAAGAUCAAGGUAGGAUCCCGGUGGUGAUCUUAUGAUGUACAAUCAUUCAUGGUGAAGUAAUAGAUGUGUUCAUAUUCUAAGUGAUCGAAGUAUCUCUUUUGAUGGUUUUAUAAUUUAUCAGGUUUGCUUGCUUUUCAAUCUAUGAAUCGAUGAUAGAUUGCCUAGGGUAUUCUUGUGGUCGUGGUGACUAGAUUUG
rnacentral:lncRNA from 1 species